rnacentral:rRNA from 1 species
CCUACGGGAGGCAGCAGUGAGGAAUAUUGGUCAAUGGCCGGAAGGCUGAACCAGCCAUGCCGCGUGAAGGUCAGUGCCCUAUGGGCGUUAAACUUUUUUUUUUCGGGAGCAAUAAUGGUCACGUGUGGCCAGACGAGAGUACCGUACGAAUAAGCAUCGGCUAACUUCGUGCCAGCAGCCGCGGUUAAACGGGGGAAGCAAGCGUUUUCCGGAUUUAUUGGGUUUAAAGGGUGCGUAGGCUGGGAGGUAAGUCAGGGGGUAAAUGCUCCCGCUCAACGGGGUGAAGUGCCAUUGAUACUGGCUUGCUGGAGUGCGGAUGCGGUAGGAGGAAUGUGUGGUGUAGCGGUGAAAUGCAUAGAUAUCACACAGAACACCGAUUGCGAAGGCAUCUCACGAAUCCGCGAUUGACGCUGAUGCACGAAAGCGUGGGUAUCAAACAGGAUUAGAUACCCCUGUAGUC